rnacentral:rRNA from 1 species
GUGUCAGCAGCCGCGGUAAUACAGAGGGUGCGAGCGUUAAUCGGAAUUACUGGGCGUAAAGCGCACGUAGGUGGCUUGACAAGUCGGUUGUGAAAGCCCCGGGCUCAACCUGGGAACUGCAUCCGAGACUGUCUUGCUAGAGUAUGGGAGAGGGAAGUGGAAUUUCCGGUGUAGCGGUGAAAUGCGUAGAUAUCGGAAGGAACAUCAGUGGCGAAGGCGACUUCCUGGACCAAUACUGACACUCAAGUGCGAAAGCGUGGGGAGCAAACAGGAUUAGAUACCCUUGUAGUCC